GGAGGUGAUUGGUGCCUGGUGGUGCCCCUGGUCUUCAAAACCAGUGCAGACCGCGCGAGCGGCCCGGGUGGGUUCGAUUCCCAUUCGCCUCCGCCA
rnacentral:tRNA from 1 species